AUCAGCAGCCAUAUCACUCUGCAACUCACAACCCACUGAAGGUAAGCAGGUGUGAGCCUGGUCAGUACCUGGAUGGGAGACCUCCUAGGAAACAGUAAAGUUGCUGCUGGUU
rfam:Lepisosteus oculatus linkage group LG6, whole genome shotgun sequence.